rnacentral:lncRNA from 1 species
CUGGUAGUUACCUCCACCAUUUUCUAGCCCAUGUCUCCAAAACUCAACCUCCUACAAACCUGGGUAGUGCUCUAAAGUCAGUUGAGGAGGUAUUAUUAUAUAAUGUACCUUAGAAGCAAUAGUUCAUAUCUUCAAAUCUAAUGUUAUUCAAGGGUUCGGCUUUUGGAAGGGGAAAAAUAGGAGAAUCAAAUACACUCUGUUUGGGAAGGAACAAAUCCGAUGUAUCUUCAGGUAUCGCUUGGGAAUAUGCAUCAAUUUAGCCAAGCAGAACAGAGCAAACACUAUGGCAGAUAGCAAUGACAUUGAGGACCAGAUGGAUCAGAGGUUGGCAACUAUGAGGAGAUGGAUGAAUGAUGAUGAUGUUGAAGAGUAGUUAAGAGGAAAAAGCUGAUGAUGAUCGUGGUAAAGAAAAGCAUGUUGGGCUGCUUACUUUGCCACCACAUGGUUCUGAGAUUUUCAUUGGGGGGCUUUCUAAGGAUGUGGUUGAGGAAGAUUUGAGUGAAGUUUGUGAACCUUUUGGGGAUGUUGUUUAGGUAAGUUUGGUGAGAUAUAUGGAGACCAAUGAAGGUAAGGGUUUUGCAUUUGUGGCAUUUAGAAGUAAAGAUGAUGUUCAAAAGGCCAUUGAAGAACUACAUAACAAAGAUUUUAAGGUGUGGAUCAUACAUAGCCAAUCAAGGGAAAAAGAGGCUUUGUAAGAAAAAAUGUUGUUGCUUGAGGCCUUACAUAAUUAUGCAUUUUCAUCCGCAUACAGUCCCCCUAUUACACGAUCCCUAGCCCAGUCGUUUUAUGUUGGUGCUGCUGGUGGAAGAGUAUCAUAGUAAUGCGGACGAGAAGUUUGCAGAGGUAGUAUGCAUUAUAUCAUUUUGUGCUUCAUGUUUGUUUAUACUACUAAACAGGAGCAAUUGUAAUUUGAUUUUCAUUUAUAGUUUUUUAAUUGGGUAUUUGUUAA